UCCAUUCCCGAUACUUUUAGUGCAGCCU
rnacentral:piRNA from 1 species